CAGCAGUGAGGAAUAUUGGUCAAUGGGCGCAAGCCUGAACCAGCCAUCCCGCGUGCAGGAUGAAGGCCCUAUGGGUCGUAAACUGCUUUUAUACACCAAGAAAAACACCCACGUGUGGGUGCCCGACGGUAGUGUAUGAAUAAGCAUCGGCUAACUCCGUGCCAGCAGCCGCGGUAAUACGGAGGAUGCAAGCGUUAUCCGGAUUCAUUGGGUUUAAAGGGUGCGUAGGCGGCUUUUUAAGUCAGUGGUGAAAUCUUGCCGCUUAACGGUAAAAUUGCCAUUGAUACUGACAAGCUUGAGUACAUUUGAGGUAAGCGGAAUGUGUAGUGUAGCGGUGAAAUGCUUAGAUAUUACACAGAACACCGAUUGCGAAGGCAGCUUACUAAACUGUUACUGACGCUGAUGCACGAAAGCGUGGGGAGCGAACAGGAUUAGA
rnacentral:rRNA from 1 species